rnacentral:lncRNA from 1 species
UGGGAGAGAAAAGCAUACGACAUAGACAGGGAGGUCAAGCUCCACCACGCAGAUGAGGUGCAGGCCACCAGUCUUCCUCUGCCACAUCUCUUUCUGAAAAGGACUUCACAUUCACCCUUGCAAUCCAUGUGGGGACACUGUUGGAUAGGAGGCGUGGUCCCAGCGUGGUCUCCCUGUCUGGGCCUCUGCCUAUGCCAAAUGUUUGCCUUACGCUGCACACUCAAGAGGUUCCAUGUAUACAGAUGGGAAUUCCAGAGCUACAGAAAAGGCAGCAAGCACCAUGAUUUAAGCUAACCAGUGUGGAUUCACACCUUCCUCUCUCUCUAUCAGUGGCAGAACUACCAGCUAGAGUAAGAAGUGGUUGAUCCAGGACCUAAACAUUCUGGAAACUCUUGCCCACUUCUGGGAGAAAUGACCCAAUCCAUAGUACUAAGCACACCUUAACUUUCGUAGGACGCAGGCAAGUUGUCAUACCGUGUGCCUAAAUAUAGAAAAAUGAUCCACUGGACUAAUAAAGUGUUAAAU